GAUGAACGCUGGCGGCGUGCCUAAUACAUGCAAGUCGAGCGAACGGACGAGAAGCUUGCUUCUCUGAUGUUAGCGGCGGACGGGUGAGUAACACGUGGAUAACCUACUUAUAAGACUGGGAUAACUUCGUGAAACCGGAGCUAAUACCGGAUAAUAUUUUGAACCGCAUGGUUCAAAAGUAAAAGACGGUCUUGCUGUCACUUAUAGAUGGAUCCGCGCUGCAUUAGCUAGUUGGUAAGGUAACGGCUUACCAAGGCAACGAUGCAUAGCCGACCUGAGAGGGUGAUCGGCCACACUGGAACUGAGACACGGUCCAGACUCCUACGGGAGGCAGCAGUAGGGAAUCUUCCGCAAUGGGCGAAAGCCUGACGGAGCAACACCGCGUGAGUGAUGAAGGUCUUCGGAUCGUAAAGCUCUGUUAUUAGGGAAGAACAUAUGUGUAAGUAACUGUGCACAUCUUGACGGUACCUAAUCAGAAAGCAACGGCUAACUACGUG
rnacentral:rRNA from 1 species